UGAGAUUUUUUUAAAAUUAUGUUGUAUUU
rnacentral:piRNA from 1 species